rnacentral:rRNA from 1 species
AGCAGCCGCGGUAAUUCCAGCUCCAAUAGCGUAUAUUAAAGUUGUUGCAGUUAAAAAGCUCGUAGUUGAAUUUCGGGAUCAGUACGCCGGUCGUGCCUCCGGUAUGUACUGGUGUCACUGGUUCCUCCCUUCUGAAGAACCAUCAUGCUAUUAAUUUAGUGUGGUGGGAAAUCAGGACUGUUACUUUGAAAAAAUUAGAGUGUUUAAAGCAGGCUCACGCUUGAAUACAUUAGCAUGGAAUAAUGAAAUAGGACGUUGAUCCUAUUUUGUUGGUUUCUAGGAUUGACGUAAUGAUUAAUAGGGAUAGUUGGGGGCAUUAGUAUUCAAUUGUCAGAGGUGAAAUUCUUGGAUUUAUUGAAGACUAACUACUGCGAAAGCAUUUGCCAAGGAUGUUUCCAUUAAUCAAGAACGAAAGUUAGGGGAUCGAAGACGAUCAGAUACCGUCGUAGU